rnacentral:rRNA from 1 species
UACGUAGGGGGCGAGCGUUGUCCGGAUUUAUUGGGCGUAAAGAGCGUGUAGGCGGUUCGGUAAGUCUGUCGUGAAAUCCUGAGGCUCAACCUUGGACGUGCGAUGGAUACUGCCGGGCUAGAGGAUGGUAGAGGCGAGCGGAAUUCCCGGUGUAGCGGUGAAAUGUGUAGAGAUCGGGAGGAACACCGGUGGCGAAGGCGGGUCUCUGGGCAUCUCCUGACGCUGAGGCGCGAAAGCGUGGGGAGCGAACAGG